UGGGCUUGACAUCCCACGAACCUGCCUGAAAGGGUGGAGUGCCCGCAAGGGAACGCGGAGACAGGUGGUGCAUGGCUGUCGUCAGCUCGUGUCGUGAGAUGUUGGGUUAAGUCCCGCAACGAGCGCAACCCUCACCCCUAGUUGCCACCGGGUCAUGCCGAGCACUCGAGGGGAACUGCCAGCGUCAAGCUGGAGGAAGGCGGGGAUGACGUCAAGUCAUCAUGCCCCUUACGCCCUGGGCUACACACGUGCUACAAUGGCCAGUACAAAGGGACGCGAGACUGCGAGGUGGAGCUAAUCCCAAAAAGCUGGUCUAAGUUCAGAUUGCAGUCUGCAACUCGACUGCAUGAAGGAGGAAUCGCUAGUAAUCGCGCAUCAGCCCGGCGCGGUGAAUACGUUCCCGGGCCUUGUACACACCGCCCGUCACACCACGAAAGCUGUCUGUACUCGAAGUCGCUGAG
rnacentral:rRNA from 1 species